AGACCCGAAACCCGGUGAUCUAGCCAUGGGCAGGUUGAAGGUUGGGUAACACUAACUGGAGGACCGAACCGACUAAUGUUGAAAAAUUAGCGGAUGACCUGUGGCUGGGGGUGAAAGGCCAAUCAAACCGGGAGAUAGCUGGUUCUCCCCGAAAGCUAUUUAGGUAGCGCCUCGUGAAUUCAUCUCCGGGGGUAGAGCACUGUUUCGGCUAGGGGGCCAUCCCGGCUUACCAACCCGAUGCAAACUGCGAAUACCGGAGAAUGUUAUCACGGGAGACACACGGCGGGUGCUAACGUC
rnacentral:rRNA from 2 species